rnacentral:rRNA from 1 species
GACGAACGCUGGCGGCGUGCUUAACACAUGCAAGUCGAACGGAAAGGCCCUGCUUUUGUGGGGUGCUCGAGUGGCGAACGGGUGAGUAACACGUGAGUAACCUGCCCUUGACUUUGGGAUAACUUCAGGAAACUGGGGCUAAUACCGGGUAGGAGCUCCUGCUGCAUGGUGGGGGUUGGAAAGUUUCGGCGGUUGGGGAUGGACUCGCGGCUUAUCAGCUUGUUGGUGGGGUAGUGGCUUACCAAGGCUUUGACGGGUAGCCGGCCUGAGAGGGUGACCGGCCACAUUGGGACUGAAAUACGGCCCAGACUCCUACGGGAGGCAGCAGUGGGGAAUAUUGCACAAUGGGCGGAAGCCUGAUGCAGCAACGCCGCGUGCGGGAUGACGGCCUUCGGGUUGUAAACCGCUUUCGCCUGUGACGAAGCGUGAGUGACGGUAAUGGGUAAAGAAGCACCGGCUAACUACGUG